rnacentral:rRNA from 1 species
UUUAAUUGAAGAGUUUGAUCAUGGCUCAGAUUGAACGCUGGCGGCAGGCCUAACACAUGCAAGUCGAGCGGUAACACAAGGGAGCUUGCUCCUGAGGUGACGAGCGGCGGACGGGUGA